rnacentral:rRNA from 1 species
UACGUAGGUGGCUAGCGUUGUCCGGAAUUACUGGGUGUAAAGGGCGUGUAGGCGGGAAUGUAAGUCGGAUGUGAAAUCCCACGGCUUAACUGUGGGGCUGCAUCUGAAACUAUGUUUCUUGAGUGCUGGAGAGGAAAGCGGAAUUCCUAGUGUAGCGGUGAAAUGCGUAGAUAUUAGGAGGAACACCAGUGGCGAAGGCGGCUUUCUGGACAGUAACUGACGCUGAGGCGCGAAAGCGUGGGGAG